UGUGACAGAGUAAAAUCAGCUCUGAAUUGCUUAGUAGAAUUUAAUUGUAAUUUUUAGGAAAGUCAAAAGUUCCAGAUAUUUGAUCAAUUUUACUCAUUGUGAGGCCUUAGGUUUUAAUAAUGUUACACUUCCGCCAAAGGCAUUUUGAGCCACAUCAGUUGUGAUCUGCCGCAUAUUACAGGGACUGCCGUUUUCUUUUCAAUUAUUUGUGAUGUGUAACCAAGUUGCUGCAGCAGUUAAAAAUUGUUUUGCGGUAUUGAGUUAUCAAACAUGUAGAGGUGCAACAUGGUCUAAUGAAACGGUUCGUAAGAUUUCUUAUGAAAAGUUAUGUACAAAUUUCAAGAGUCAUGAGGCUGGGGACACGUGACCUAUGCAGGCGUACUUGUCAUUGUGUGAAUUUCGUGGACGACUCUGCAUCGAUGCCACUUCUGUCUGCGUCAGAGUCUCUGUCGGAGUGUGUUCCCUCCUCACUCCCCCUCUCACCUGCGCUUACUUCAUACUUGUACAAUAUACACCAUCACUUAUCACAAUUUAUUAGGAAAAGAACAGGACUGAUGUUUACUUUCUUUGUUUGAGAUCAGUUCUAAGUUUGAGUGAUUAAAAACAUCAGAGGAGCAUGAGAGAGAGAGAGAGAGAGAGGUGAGCACAUGAUUCAGUGUGUGUUGGAGCACCUGGUCUGAUGGAUCUGAUUCGACACCUUCGACAGGAGAACUCUGAUUGGCUGCUGGCAUUUUGACCACUUGGCUUCAACUCAGCUCAGCCUCUUUCAUCUGCAUCUGAGCCACGUAGCUCCCUUCACCGGAGGUUUCUGCUGUGUGAGUGGGCGUGCGAGAGAGAGGGAGCCUGUCCCGUUGAAUACACGUUACUCCCCCAGAUGCAUGCCAAGUUUCAGCGCCGUGCUGAGGAAAGCAAGCUAGCCCCAAGAUUGAGGACGAGUUUCAAAGAAUCACAAGGGUGCACCUGGAAUCAAAGUUCAUGUCCAAGCUGGAUGAAUAUACUCCCAAGCUUCUGAACCUCUUCCAGUCCAAGGGAGGAACCAUGGGGUUGAGGUUGCAGGCUAUUCUACUCAAGGCUCCAAGCAAUCCUAGCAUCAACGUAUCCAGAGAUGUUGUCAUUCGUUGUUUGAUUGUUUACCUCGGGGAAUCAACAGAUCAAAUCUUAAAAGAGUAUGAUGAUGCUGAUGAAGACAGUGUGUCGCAGGAUCUUGCUGACCAAAAGAUGAAGAUCUUCAAGAUUAUAACG